CAAGUCGAGCGAGAAAGGGGGCAACCCCUUGAGUACAGCGGCGUUACGGGUGAGUAACACGUGGAUCAUCUACCUUUUAGUGGGGAAUAACUUUGGGAAACCGAAGCUAAUACCGCAUAAGCCUGUAAAGGGAAAGCAGCAAUGCGCUGGAAGAGGAGUCCGCGGCCGAUUAGCUAGUUGGUGAGGUAACGGCCCACCAAGGCGACGAUCGGUAGCCGGCCUGAGAGGGCACACGGCCACACUGGCACUGAAACACGGGCCAGACUCCUACGGGAGGCAGCAGUGGGGAAUCUUGCACAAUGGAGGAAACUCUGAUGCAGCGACGCCGCGUGAGCGAUGAAGCCCUUCGGGGUGUAAAGCUCUUUCGGCAGGAACGAUAAUGACGGUACCUGAAGAAGAAGCUGCGGCUAACUACGUGCCAGCAGCCGCGGUAAUACGUAGGCAGCAAGCGUUGUUCGGAAUUACUGGGCGUAAAGAGUGUGUAGGCGGUGCUCUAAGUUCGGUGUGAAAUCUCCCGGCUCAACUGGGAGGGUGCGCCGGAAACUGGAAUGCUUGAGCGUGGGAGAGGAAAGCGGAAUUCCUGGUGUAGCGGUGAAAUGCGUAGAUAUCAGGAGGAACACCUGCGGUGUAGACGGCUUUCUGGACCAUUGCUGACGCUGAGACACGAAAGCGUGGGUAGCAAACAGGAUUAGAUACCCUGGUAGUCCACGCCCUAAACGAUGCAUACUUGGUGUCGGCCAUUCAGUUGGUCGGUGCCGGAGCUAACGCGUUAAGUAUGCCGCCUGGGGAGUACGUUCGCAAGGAUGAAACUCAAAGGA
rnacentral:rRNA from 1 species